rnacentral:sRNA from 1 species
AUGUCCAGUCCCUCCUGACCACUGUCAACAUAGCGUGUAUGUAGUGGCGGUCACUGGGUGUCAAGGGUGUAUCAUUUGUGACACUGGUUAUGUGUCAGUGGCAAACCAAAAGUACAGGCGAGCUUCCUCGGAUAGAACAGCCGACUACGUGUACAAUGGUAUCUCAAUAUCAGGAACUAUAGAAUUAAAUGAACCAAGAUAUACUUGUGUCCAAGGGACAACUUGUCCGAGUGGCUACCACUUUGUACAUAGAGGAGAACUAGUCACGUGUGAAGUUUCAGUGAAUGACGUAACAGUUGGCUGACGAAGACGUCAUUAGUGAAGAAGACAGAGAUAAGAUUGGAAUGAAUAAAGAUAUUUCAGUGUACAUUUGA